rnacentral:rRNA from 1 species
GACGAACGCUGGCGGCGUGCUUAACACAUGCAAGUCGAACGAGAGCGUAGAGAAAGCUUGCUUUUUCUACAAUCUAGUGGCAAACGGGUGAGUAACGCGUAAACAACCUGCCCUACGGAUGGGGACAACAGCUGGAAACGGCUGCUAAUACCGAAUACGUUCCGAAAGUCGCAUGACUAUCGGAAGAAAGGAUGGCCUCUAUUUAUAAGCUAUCGCCGGAGGAGGGGUUUGCGUCUGAUUAGCUAGUUGGAGGGGUAACGGCCCACCAAGGCGACGAUCAGUAGCCGGUCUGAGAGGAUGAACGGCCACAUUGGAACUGAGACACGGCCCAGACUCCUACGGGAGGCAGCAGUGGGGAAUCUUCCGCAAUGGGCGAAAGCCUGACGGAGCAACGCCGCGUGAGUGAAGACGGCCUUCGGGUUGUAAAGCUCUGUUAUACGGGACGAAUAGUCUUGUGGUUAAUACCCAUGAGAAGUGACGGUACCGUAAGAGAAAGCCACGGCUAACUACGUGCCAGCAGCCGCGGUAAUACGUAGGUGGCAAGCGUUGUCCGGAAUUAUUGGGCGUAAAGGGCGCGCAGGCGGCUUCUUAAGUCUGUCUUAAAAGUGCGGGGCUUAACCCCGUGAUGGGAUGGAAACUGGGAAGCUCAGAGUAUCGGAGAGGAAAGCGGAAUUCCUAGUGUAGCGGUGAAAUGCGUAGAUAUUAGGAGGAACACCAGUGGCGAAAGCGGCUUUCUGGACGAAAACUGACGCCGAGGCGCGAAAGCCAGGGGAGCGAACGGG